GGUACAGCUCAAGUGGUAGAGCACAUGCUUAGCAUGCAUGAGGUCCUGGGUUCAAUCCUCAGUACC
rnacentral:tRNA from 1 species